AAACUAACAAGGAUUCCCCUAGUAGCGGCGAGCGAAGCGGGAAGAGCUCAAAUUUAUAAUCUGGCGCUUUCAGCGUCCGAGUUGUAAUCUCUAGAAGUGUUUUCCGCGUUGGACCGCACACAAGUCUGUUGGAAUACAGCGGCACAGUGGUGAGACCCCCGUAUACGGUGCGGAUGCCCAAUGCUUUGUGAUACACUUUCGAAGAGUCGAGUUGUUUGGGAAUGCAGCUCAAAUUGGGUGGUAAA
rnacentral:rRNA from 1 species